GAUGAACGCUGGCGGCGUGCCUAAUACAUGCAAGUCGAGCGAACAGACGAGGAGCUUGCUCCUCUGACGUUAGCGGCGGACGGGUGAGUAACACGUGGAUAACCUACCUAUAAGACUGGGAUAACUUCGGGAAACCGGAGCUAAUACCGGAUAAUAUAUUGAACCGCAUGGUUCAAUAGUGAAAGACGGUUUUGCUGUCACUUAUAGAUGGAUCCGCGCCGCAUUAGCUAGUUGGUAAGGUAACGGCUUACCAAGGCAACGAUGCGUAGCCGACCUGAGAGGGUGAUCGGCCACACUUGAACUGAGACACGGUCCAGACUCCUACGGGAGGCAGCAGUAGGGAAUCUUCCGGAAUGGGCGAAAGCCUGACGGAGCAACGCCGCGUGAGUGAUGAAGGUCUUCGGAUCGUAAAACUCUGUUAUUAGGGAAGAACAAAUGUGUAAGUAACUAUGCACGUCUUGACGGUACCUAAUCAGAAAGCCGCGGCUAACUACGU
rnacentral:rRNA from 1 species